UUUGCCGCAAGCAGGCUGGUGUUGCCAUCGGAAGACUGUGUGAAAAAUGUGAGUGGAACACACCGUCCCAACAACCCACCCUUCCCACUCCCAGUUUUCUGUGGAACCAACAAAAGUGCCACAAAGAGGGCUUUGAGUAGAUGUGCCUGGAAGUGAUGGCAAGUGUGUGAUUUGUGACUCCUAUGUGCGUCCCUGCACUCUGGUGCGCAUAUGUGAUGAGUGUAACUAUGGAUCUUACCAGGGGCGCUGUGUGAUCUGUGGAGGACCUGGGGUCUCUGAUGCCUAUUAUUGUAAGGAGUGCACCAUCCAGGAGAAGGACAGAGAUGGCUGCCCAAAGAUUGUCAAUCUGGGGAGCUCUAAGACAGACCUCUUCUAUGAACGCAAAAAAUACGGCUUCAAGAAGAGGUGAUUGGUGGGUGGCCCCUUCCUCCCCCCAACAUCAGUCUGCUGCAGCUGCCAGAAAACAUGCCUACUACUACCAGCAGAAAGGGAGCAGAGCCCAGA
rnacentral:sRNA from 1 species